CGGGUGAGUAACACGUGAGUGACCUGCCUUUUAGACUGGAACAACUUACCGAAAGGUGAGCUAAUGCCGGAUGAGUUAUAUAAGUGCAUGUUUAUAUAGGAAAAAGUUGGGGAGACCUGACGCUGAAAGAUGGACUCGCGUCCCAUUAGCUAGUUGGUAGGGUAAUGGCCUACCAAGGCGACGAUGGGUAGCCGGCCUGAGAGGGUGGCCGGCCACACUGGGACUGAGACACGGCCCAGACUCCUACGGAAGGCAGCAG
rnacentral:rRNA from 1 species